GACAGAGGUGCCGAGCGUUAGGCGGAAUCACUGGGCUUAAAGCGUGUGUAGUCGGAUCGUUAAGUGUCUUGUGAAAUCCCCCGGCUCAACCGGGGAACUGCUGGGCAUACUGGCGAUCUUGAGCGGCCUAGGGGCAGAUGGAACAAGUGGUGGAGCGGUGAAAUGCGUAGAUAUCACUUGGAACGCCAAAGGUGAAAACAGUCUGCUGGGGGCCUGCUGACGCUGAGACACGAAAGCCAGGGGAGCGAACGGG
rnacentral:rRNA from 1 species